UUUUCUCUGGAGACACUAGCGCCUGUGCUGUUUCAGAUGAGACCAUCUAGAUGCAGAAAAACAAGCUCAGGACUCCCACUGACUACAUUAGGAUACUUGCUGCUACAUUGCUUCUCCCUCUCUGUGUGGACAUACCUGCCUUUGCUGCAAAGUGCUGGAAGCUGGCCUCUUUGGAGCCACAGACCAAAAGAUGGAGUCCCGCUCUGUCACCCAGGCUGGAGUGAAGUGGCACAAUCUCAGCUCACUGCAACCUCCGCCUCCUGGGUUCAGGCCAUUCUUCUGCCUCAGCCUCCCAUGUAGCUGGGUUUACAGGCACACACCACUAUGUCCAGCUGAUCUUUUGUAUUUUUAAUAGAGACAGGGUUUUGCCAUGUUGGCUAGGCUGGUCUUGAACUCCUGACCUCAAGUGAUCCACCCACCUCGGCUUCCCAAAAUGCUGGGAUUAUAGGUGUGAGCCACCACACCUGGUCUCCAUUUCUAACUACAAAAACUGGCUCCAAUCUCACCGCUCAAAAGUUCUCCUGCAUAGCCCUGUCCCAGGCUGGCCACACUGAAAUCUUCUGGGUGCUUCAGUGUUCUUCAUGCAUUUUUAAUGUUGCUUUUAUUCUUUUCAUUCCUACUUAUUGUAUAAAGACUGGUCAUAUUGGAAAUUCCUCAAAAAAGGGGAAUUUGUCUUUUGGCUGUCCUCACAGUUUAUAAUACUGUGACUGGAAUAAAGGACUC